rnacentral:lncRNA from 1 species
ACCACCUUAUAUCGCCUAGGAGAUGAAUUAAACAUAUUGUUAGAAUUGUACCAUCUCCACAAUAUCUCAUAUUUAUUUAUUCUUUAUUUCCUUUUAUCUUAUAGAGAUACUUUGAUCAUCAUGUGGUAGCUGCACACACUGACCGGACGACCGGGGUGGUAGCUCUUUCCUCCAUGUGGUGGUAGUUUUCACACUCCCAGUAGGGAUGUAACUCUUUCCACAUCUUUUGAAUUUAAGAAAUUUUCAUAACUGGAAAGACUCCCCCUAAAUUAGUACAACCCUCAAGUCAAAAAUAUUAUCGCAAUUUCAAAAACAGAGAAAUAGUUAUUCAUCUCAUAGCUAAUAAUCAAACAAAACAAUUGCAACGUUCAAAGUUCGAAGCAUGAGGUGUUGAAUUUAACUCAGUAUACUAAAACAGAAUUUCAAUGAUUUAAUCGUUCAAAAAUUAUGACAACAGAGAAUAACAUUGACAGUGAUCAAUCAAAACAUAAUAUGAAACAAUUACAGCCAUAUAAUAGAGCUCACAAAAAUAUGAUAUUGACAGUGACA